GGGCAUAUGGUGUAGUUGGUUAUCACAUCCGCUUAGCAUGCGGGGGGUCGUGGAUUCAAUUUCCACUAUGUCCA
rnacentral:tRNA from 1 species